CCUACGGGGGGCAGCAGUGGGGAAUAUUGCGCAAUGGGGGGAACCCUGACGCAGCAACGCCGCGUGAGUGAAGAAGGCCUUCGGGUUGUAAAGCUCUUUAAUCAGGGACGAAGAAUGACGGUACCUGAAGAAUCAGCUCCGGCUAACUCCGUGCCAGCAGCCGCGGUAAUACGGAGGAUGCGAGCGUUAUCCGGAUUUAUUGGGUUAAAAGGGUGCGUAGGCGGAUUUUUAAGUCAGCGGUAAAAUGUCCGGGCUCAACCCGGGCCGGCCGUUGAAACUGGGGAUCUUGAGUGGGCGAGAAGUAUGCGGAAUGCGUGGUGUAGCGGUGAAAUGCAUAGAUAUCACGCAGAACUCCGAUUGCGAAGGCAGCAUACCGGCGCCCGACUGACGCUGAGGCACGAAAGCGUGGGGAUCGAACAGGAUUAGAUACCCCUGUAGUC
rnacentral:rRNA from 1 species